rnacentral:rRNA from 1 species
GAUGAACGCUAGCGGCAGGCUUAAUACAUGCAAGUCGUGGGGCAGCAGGGGUAGCAAUACCCGCUGGCGACCGGCAAACGGGUGCGGAACACGUACGCAACCUUUCCUUUAACUGGAGAAUACGCCCCUACGAAAGAGGGAUUAAUACUCCGUAACAUAUUGAUAAGGCAUCUUAUUACUAUUAUAGCUCCGGACGGUUAAAGAUGGGCGUGCGCCUGAUUAGAUAGUU